AUUGGAGAAAGUAGAUUUGGAAUUGGAAGCGGGUCAAACAGGAGACUUGAAAAUUCAAGUGCCUCUUCCACUUCUUUGCUUACAGUUUUUUUCUUUUCUUUUCUUUUUUUUUUUUUUUUUUGAGACAGAGUCUUUCACUGUGACCCAGGCUGGAGUGCAAGGACUUGAUCUCAGGUCACUGCAACCUCUGCCUCCCGGGUUCAAGUGAUUUUCUUGCCUCAGCCUCCCGAGUAGCUGGGAUUACAGGUGCCAGUCACCACGUCCAGCUCAUUUUUGUAUUUUUAGUAGAGACAGGGUUUCACCAUGUUGGUCAGGCUGGUCUCGAACUCCUGACCUGUGAUCUGCCUGCCUCAACCUCCCAAAGUGCUGGGAUUUCAGGCGUGAGCCUCCGUGCCUGACCUGCUUACAGUUUAUACCCCUUACUCUUUUCCAGGCUCUCUGUCUCCACUCUUCGUUCUUCCCCUGAGUGGGCUGUCCUUCAAUUACUGCAUGCCCAGUAGCCUUGGCAGUAGGCACAGGAUGUUCAGGAGGAGACCCAGAGCAACAUCCAGACUCCAGAAUGCAGCUGCCAAGGAGACCCUGUUACGCUGUGGGGACUGGCUGAGGCGUGGAAGGCGGCUCUGGCUUCCCACCCUCUGUUCUGAGAUGAAGGUGGUAGGCAGUAUCUCAUCUUUGGGUUCCACCAUGCUCACAUGGUCAGGCAGGGGUUUGUUAGGGCCAAUCUUACCAGUUGGGUCCCAGGGCAGCAUGAUCUUCACCUUGAUGCCAGCACACCCUGUCUGAGCAGUACAUGGCUCACGGCAGUGUUAAUGUAGUAGUGAACAGGGUCUCUGCCAUGGAUGGAUAGUUUUAUGCCCUCCUGUCCCCACCUCAAUGAGAACCAGACAGCUCUGGGGUCCCUUCCUUGUCCUGCUUGUUAUUUCAGAGGGACAGAUUUAUAACAAUCUGACGGUGGCUUGACAAAUGCCCAACAUUCUUGGGGGCCCUCGCAUGCCCUGCUCAUGUCUAACCGCCAACUCUGACAUUCUCACCUCAAAAAAAUACGUAGAUGAGGUAAUGCAUAUGUGAAUUAGCUUGUUUUAGCCAUUCCGCUGAUCUGGAAGUGUGUGCUCUCGUUAAAUGAUGUGGAGCAAAAGGGCGUGGGUUCCUGGCUAGAGCUCCACCCCUGGGCCUGGACCCACGGACCUAGUUAAGGACAGGCAUUUUUGUUCUCCUGCCUGGAUGUUGCAUUUCCCAAGACCACCCUGGCCUGCCACACCCCCACCCUGUGCCUAUAAAAAACCCCGAGACCCUAGCAGGCAGACACACAGGUGGCUGGACAUUGAGAGGAGCACAUCUGUGGUGGAACACACAGCAGCUGGACGUGGAGAGCAACGCACUGACAGGCAUGGCAUGAGGGCAGGCCAUCAACCAGCAGGACCACGAAGAGUUUGGCGGAGUCUGGCCGGAGCAGUUGGAGAACCGCUGGGUUGCCAGGCUUACCUUGUACUCACUCUCCAAGCCCACAUGUGAUUGGAUUCUUCUGGUACACCAAGGCAAAGACUCUGGGAUACAGAAAGCCCUCUGACCUUUUGAUAAGGCGGGGAUCUGAUUGAGCUGGUUAACACAAGCCACCUACAGACAGCUAAACUAAAAGGGCACCCUGUAACACACACCCACUGGGGCUUCAGGAGGUGUAAACAUUCACCCCUAGACACUACCAUGGGAUCAGAUCCUCACAGCCUGCCUGUCUGUAUGCUCCCCUAAAGGUUUGAGCAGCAUUGCACGCCCUUGGAGGGGAGCAGGGGAACUUUUCCCGUUUCACUACUAUGUAUCCAUAUAUCAAAACAUCACAUUGUACACCAUGACAUAUACAAUUAAAGGUCUAGACAAUU